rnacentral:rRNA from 1 species
UAGGUAACACUGACUGGAGGACCGAACCCACUUCCGUUGAAAAGGCAGGGGAUGACUUGUGGAUCGGAGUGAAAGGCUAAUCAAGCUCGGAGAUAGCUGGUUCUCCUCGAAAGCUAUUUAGGUAGCGACCUCACGUAUCACUCCAGGGGGUAGAGCACUGUUUCGGCUAGGGGGUCAUCCCGACUUACCAAACCGAUGCAAACUCCGAAUACCUGGAAGUGUCAGCGUGGGAGACACACGGCGGGUGCUAACGUCCGUCGUGAAAAGGGAAA